rnacentral:rRNA from 1 species
CUAGAGAUAGAAGUUACUUCGGUACAUCGGUGACAGGUGGUGCAUGGUUGUCGUCAGCUCGUGUCGUGAGAUGUUGGGUUAAGUCCCGCAACGAGCGCAACCCCUAUUGUUAGUUGCCAUCAUUCAGUUGGGCACUCUAGCGAGACUGCCGGUAAUAAACCGGAGGAAGUGGGGAUGACGUCAAAUCAUCAUGCCCCUUAUGACCUGGGCUACACACGUGCUACAAUGGUUGGUACAACGAGUUGCGAGUCGGUGACGGCGAGCUAAUCUCUUAAAGCCAAUCCCAGUUCGGAUUGUAGGCUGCAACUCGCCUACAUGAAGUCGGAAUCGCUAGUAAUCGCGGAUCAGCACGCCGCGGUGAAUACGUUCCCGGGCCUU